rfam:Opisthorchis viverrini opera_v5_42.60, whole genome shotgun sequence.
GCCGUCGUAAUCUAGCGGUUAGGACAUUGUGUUGUGGCCGCAAGAACCCAGGUUCGAAUCCUGGCGACAGCA